GCAGACCGGAAGAUCUUCGCGGACCAUUUGGAGAGUAUGGACCCCUGAAGGAUGUUUACUUACCGCGUGACUAUUAUACUGGCGUGGACCAGUAUGGUAGCCGUUUGAUUCAACAGAAACUUGAAACCGCUACUACCGAGGAUAAAAACAUGGUUUUUCAAGAGAUUUUCCCUCAGGCUCUUACUUUGAUGACCGAUGUCUUUGGAAAUUAUGUGAUUCGGAAGUUUUUCGAGCAUGGAAUGCCAGCUCAGCGAAGAGAAUUGGCUGGAAAGCUGUUGGGCCAUGUUUUGUCCCUUAGUCUUCAAAUGUACGGCUGCCGAGUUAUACAGAAGGCGUUAAGGAAGAAAGUUCGAGUCAAGUGAAGCAACAAGGGGAUCAAGACCGAGGCGUUAAGGAAGAAAGUUCGAGUCAAGUGAAGCAACAAGGGGAUCAAGACCGAGGUAAAUCUCAUGUCUAGCUAUCAAGCUUUGCCCGGUUCGAACACGCCUCAAGCCCGUCAAGCGUUCCGCAUUUUGUAAAAGUCAAUGUUUAAUACUUUGUCACUUAUGUCUACGUCUAGUAGUUAAACCUAGUUUCUAUUAUGUUUGUCUUUUGGAAAACUUGUAGUAAGUACGUAUAUAAACUUAAUGGUUUUGUAAGUAAAAACAUGGUAUGUUUUGACGUGUAUGUUGUGUCUUUUUAAUGGUUGCGUAUUUUUGAAUGAUAUUUGAUUAUGAAAAACAGGGGACCGCUCGUUUUGCAAACGGGUCAUGCCCAAAUUUUGUUAGAAAAUAAAGUGGUUUAAUCUAAGUAGUCAUGAAUGGAGGUAUAAUCACGGUAUACAUCACUUAGAAGAUACUGGGUGUUCAUUUAACACAGAAAGAGCUAGACGAGCGUAGAAAUACAUGGGGCUACUCCACAUACAAGGCCGGAAAAGGUGUAGUUGGCUAUUUCUUCAAAACAAAUAUAGUGGGGUAGAAGACAGUUGAAUGAGAGAAGGUUCAAGCUCAAAGAGAAGACAAGAUUAAGAAAACUAUAUAUGUUCCGACAUAGAUCUUAAUGUCACUAAAAGAUAAACUUGCUGCUCUGUUUAGCACCUAUGGCCAUUUCGUGCGAACCUGCCCAUCCGUCCGUGGUGUACUGGAAAUGGUAUAAUAGUGAUGUGAAGUUUACAACAAGAAAAAGUUUAAGAAACCGAAUUAAAAAGUUAUGGUGGAGAAAAGGGGGAUACUUUAGAGGUUAAAAGUGUUAUUUUUAUACUUUUAUUGGUUGUGAAUUAAAUUUUCCUACCCGGAAAAUUUCCGGGUGAU